AAGAAAGUGACAGAGUGGUGAUGUGGCUGGCUUGAAACCAGCAUAUGGGGGUUCAAUUCCUUCCUUUCUUG
rnacentral:tRNA from 19 species